rnacentral:rRNA from 1 species
UAGCGUAACACGUAUGCAAUCUGCCCACAGCCGGGAGAUAGCCCUCCGAAAGGAGGAUUAAUAUCCCAUAGAAAGAUGGAAUGGCAUCAUUUUAUUUUUAAACUACGGGGCUGUGGAUGAGCAUGCGGUUGAUUAGCUAGUUGGCGGGGUAAAGGCCCACCAAGGCGAUGAUCAAUAGGGGACCUGAGAGGGUGAUCCCCCACACUGGCACUGAGAUACGGGCCAG